AACAUUAUAGAUCAGAGAUUUUCGUUUCUGAUACGUUAUCGAUUUCCGGAAUCCUUUCUAAUGAAUUGAUUUCAAAUUUGUAUUUUUGGUAGAAAUUUCGUUGUUAAGGAUCUCUCUUUCUUGUUACUUGAGAUGUUCUCGAUGGCUUAGUUCUUGGUUUGAAACUCAUUUGUUCUUGGCUGAGCAAUUGUUUUAUGGCUUGCAAUUUAAGGUUGGAGAAGUCAUCUUUAUACUGAAACUUGCAAGGUUUGCAGGCAAAGGCUUGCUUUUUCAUGUUUAUAAUGAUGGCUUCUAUUGCAGGAGAACGUAAUGCCAACUCUUACCAUGACUUUGCAACCUAUUACUUUCCUUAUGGUAGAACUUAUGUUAAUUUCAAACUUUGAAGACAGUAAAUGCUGGUGGGCAGCCAAAAUCUGAAUCAUAUGACUUAAAGAAAUUCCAUGUUGGAGAUAUGAUUAUUGGGAGAAUCAAACGUGUGGAGCCCUAUGGCUUAUUCAUUGACAUUGAUCAAACUGGCAUGGUAAUGAUCUAGUUUCAUGCUGCAAGGUGAAAAAGAAGACUAUAGCUGCAAGACGGAGUCAAGUGAAAAUGAUUAUACUCCCAGAGGCUAACCGGAAAGAUUUUGAUGAGCUGGCGGAAAACGUGAAAGAAGUGCUUGAUGGAAACAAGAGGGAUUGUCAUUUUGGGUCUCACACAUAAAAACUAUAGAAAGUAAAGCAAUAGUGUAGUAUGUGUGUGCUUUGUCUAAUCAAAGACUGAUCAAUGAUAUGUCUGUUCAAUUUUACACAUUGAAGAUGGAGAAGUAGCAGCACACACCAAGAAUCGUUUGACAUGGCAACAUGGUCCUUUGUGGUACUCACUGCUUCUCCUCAACUUCACGGCCAUUAUCACUAUUCUCUUUGGUACCUUUGUGGUACUCACUGCUUCUGCUAAGUCUUCUUCCUUCCUCCUCCAAUGAUGAUACUGUUGACUACAGCUAUUCUGCUAUAUAAAACACUUUCUACAUUCCACUUGCAUUUGUAUUGCCCCUUAUACUGUCAACACUCCAUUUAUAUGUGAUGCAUUUGUAGCGAAAAACUUUGUGUUUUACGAGUUUGCUACUUCUGGUGUGUAAAAUAUUUGAUAUUAGUGAUGAAUUUUUCUUUAUUUUCUU